GAUGAACGCUAGCGGCAGGCUUAAUACAUGCAAGUCGUGGGGCAGCACAGAGUAGCAAUACUUGGGUGGCGACCGGCAAACGGGUGCGGAACACGUACGCAACCUUCCUUCAGGCGGGGAAUAGCCCAGAGAAAUUUGGAUUAAUACCCCAUAAAAUUUUGAGAUGGCAUCAUCUUAUUAUUAAAGCUUCGGCACCUGAUGAUGGGCGUGCGGCUGAUUAGGUAGUUGGCGGAGUAACGGCCCACCAAGCCUACGAUCAGUAGCUGAUGUGAGAGCAUGAUCAGCCACACGGGCACUGAGACACGGGCCCGACUCCUACGGGAGGCAGCAGUAAGGAAUAUUGGUCAAUGGACGAAAGUCUGAACCAGCCAUGCCGCGUGGAGGAUGAAGGUCCUCUGGAUUGUAAACUUCUUUUAUUUGGGACGAAAAAAGGGAAUUCUUUCCCACUUGACGGUACCAGAUGAAUAAGCACCGGCUAACUCCGUGCCAGCCGCCGCCGUAAAAC
rnacentral:rRNA from 1 species